rnacentral:rRNA from 1 species
AUUGAACGCUGGCGGCAUGCCUAACACAUGCAAGUCGAACGGCAGCACGGUCUAGUUUACUAGAUGGGUGGCGAGUGGCGGACGGGCGAGUAAUGCGCAGGAAUAUGCCUUAAAGAGGGGGAUAACUUGGGGAAACUCAAGCUAAUACCGCAUAAUCUCUAUGGAGAAAAGCUGGGGACCUUCGGGCCUGGCGCUUUAAGAUUAGCCUGCGUCCGAUUAGCUAGUUGGUAGGGUAAAGGCAUACCAAGGCGACGAUCGGUAGCUGGUCUGAGAGGAUGACCAGCCACACUGGAACUGAGACACGGUCCAGACUCCUACGGGAGGCAGCAGUGGGGGAUAUUGGACAAUGGGGGCAACCCUGAUCCAGCAAUGCCGCGUGUGUGAAGAAGGCCUGAGGGUUGUAAAGCACUUUCAGUGGGGAGGAGGAUUGCUAGGUUAAGAGCUAGGUAAUUGGACGUUACCCACAGAAGAAGCACCGGCUAACUCCGUGCCAGCCGCCGCGGUAA